UCAGGAAGCAGGGCGAUUGCUCCGCCAAUCCGCCAGCUGGCGGAGGCGGGGAGGAAAGUCCAGACAGCGCAGAGCACGGUAUCCGGCGUAAGCCGAAACAGGCAACUGCUAGUUAGAGCAACAGAAACGUCUCCGCCGAAUCGGCGGAUUGAAACGGGCAAUCCUUACCGGCUGCAACCGCAUGACACUCAAAAAAGGCUGCUCGCCUUGAGUGAAAAGAAGGGCAUCAGACAGAUAAUCGCCUGAAACAGAAUCUGGCUUACUCGCUUCCUGAAAGG
rnacentral:RNase_P_RNA from 4 species